ACCACAGGGAUACAAAUGCUCUUAAAGAUGCUAAAAAGAAGCACAAGGAGAAAACCAGAGUUUCAGCCCCACAGCUGGGCACUGAGCCAGGCCUAUAGCCUCAGGUACUGGGACACUAAGGCAGGACAGUCACAGGUCCUGGUCCAUGCUACCUGGGACACCAUAUACAGUUUCAUUAGCCGUGGCGUUCUGUGUCCUGUGUUGUGUCAGUGGUUCCUGGGACACAGCUCCCUCCCCAUGGGAAGCCACAGAACACUGACAAGGCAGGCCACCUGUCACUACCAUGCCCAGUGCCGGCACUGUGAUGGACUAAAAUUAACCGCAGCUCUUUUCUAAACAACAAAACUUGUAAGUUAUUUGUUCUGUGUGUGUGGGUGUGUUAAUCUGCAUGUCUAUCUGUACACCAUGUGUGUGCCAAAGAGGUCAUGGAUCUCUCUUAGGACUGGAGUUUCAGACAGUUGUGAGCCACCAUAUGGAUGUUGGAAUCAAACCUGGGUCCUGAAAAAGCAGCUAGAGCUCCUAAGGGCUGAGCCAUCUCUCCAGCCCCUAAAUUAACUUUAAAAAUCCAGACGGUAUCCCAUCCACCUUAACACCGGCCACAGAGACAACCUGGGAGCGGGAAGACGACAGUGGCGGAGUAGCUCUGUAUAGUGGUGCACGCUGCCUUUGAUCCCAGCACUCCAGAGGUCAGGGAGCUCUGUGAGGCCAGCCUAGCCUGCAUAGUAAGACCAUGGGAGAGGAACAAACCAACCAACCACUGGUAAAGCAUUUGCCUAACGUGUGUGAGGCCCUACGUUUGACUCCCUGACGAGGAAGAAGAUAGGUGAGGAUGC
rnacentral:lncRNA from 1 species